rnacentral:lncRNA from 1 species
GGGAGAGGCGCUCAGCUUGACGUGGUAAAUGUGAUGUCCAUGUUGGAUGUCCCAGUGGAGACGUGGAACUGGCGGUUGGCGGUGAGUCAGGAGGGCACAGGGAGGCCUGGGCUGAGGUGUAAGCUUGGUGUCAUCAGCAAUGGCAACAUUUAAACCACAAGGUGCAAGGAGGGCACAUGCACGGCAGAGGCUGGACCCUGAGGAAGGAGACGGGGAAGGCGCGGCCAGUGGGGAAGGAGGAAAACCGGGUGAGGCGCCCGGAGGCCCAGCGGAGGCGGUGUUUCGGGGGACGGAAGAGGAGCGCCUGUGUCAGCUGCUGCUGGUGGGAAGCACACAGCGCUGACAAUCCACUUGCUAAGGUGGGAUUGAGGCGACCCUGACUUCGCUUGCAAGCCUGCCUGGAGCGAGUUUACGAGAGCGGGAGCAAAAGUGGAAAGAGGGUCUUCCUAUUCAAUGUGGGAGGAAGUAUGAACACCAGGAGGGAAAUCAUAAGGGCGUCUACCGUGGUUUGUCCCCUGGUCUCCAAUAAGCCACGUUCUUUCACAUGAAUUCUUUAGGGUUCCCUGGUGACCCUGAAGUAUGGUGCCCUAGAGGAAAGACAGGGGAAUGGUGAGUCCUUUCCUCUUCACUGGUGGCCUCCGUUACAGCAGCGACCUGGCCCUUCCUGGAUUUGUGGCCCACAUCAAGGCAGGAGAGAGAGAAGAAGGCUGAGGAAGGUGACAGCAGACGUGGUUUCCAAGGAAACAGGAAGCAAUCACCAGGCCCUCUGAGGAUCAUUAUUUCUUUGUCCUGCUAAAAGCCAGAUGCUCCCACCUUCUAAGCCAGCUCAGACGGUUGAGCAGGCACCAAAAUGGGUCCCCAGGGAGGAGACAAGGGGCUGGGGGAGCCUAUGGAGGGGGCGCUACUCCCUCUGCUGGACCCCCUUCCUCUCACGAGGCCUCCCCUUCCUCACAAAGACAUGCCCUUCCCCCAAAUCUCCUUAGGCCGCGAGGGGAGCCUAGUGUUUGAUGAGGAAUACACGGGAAGUUGUCUUCUCUGGAGCUCCAAGCACAGGACGUCUUUGCUCGGAGUCUGUCCCGGGAUUCAUCGGCGAGGAUUCCAGCCUGUGGACCCGCCUGGUCCCGGGUGGAGGGAUGGCUGGCCUGAGUGCCGAAUGCUCCAGAAAUAAACCGAGCAAUGACACUGUGUCCAGCGCUCAGACACCGUGAUCUGAGGUGGCCGAGGUGCAAGACCUCCCUGGAGCCGUCAAGAAUCACCAUCUAAGGGGCACUUCUUUGGGGCCACACGUGACACGGGGCGGGCUGGAGCUGUAGGCACGGGUUCUCACAACCCCUCAGAGAACCCCCUGAAGGGGACGCUGUCUUC